GGGAAUAUGGUCUAGUGGUAUGACGUCGCUUCCGCAUACCUGUGACCUCCAAGUUCGCGGUCCGGAAAAGCGAAGGUCCGGGGUUCGAUCCCCUGUGUUUCCA
rfam:Pseudozyma antarctica DNA, scaffold: scaffold_v10012, strain JCM 10317, whole genome shotgun sequence.